UACGGGGGGGGCAAGCGUUGUUCGGAAUUACUGGGCGUAAAGGGUUUGUAGGUGGCCUGCUAAGUCAGACGUGAAAUCCCUCAGCUUAACUGGGGAACUGCGUCUGAGACUGGUAGGCUCGAGGACAGGAGGGGAACGCGGAAUUCCAGGUGUAGCGGUGAAAUGCGUAGAUAUCUGGAGGAACACCGGUGGCGAAGGCGGCGUUCUGGACUGUUUCUGACACUGAAAAACGAAAGCCAGGGGAGCAAACGGG
rnacentral:rRNA from 1 species